UAACUCUGGUUUCACUACAGACACGCAUAAAUCUUUCGCCUUAUACUAAAGAUUUCCGUGCAGUGGAACAAUCAAUGAGUCUAACAAUCUGACUAAAGUACUUGAUCUUCUAAACGAAGAUCU